rnacentral:pre_miRNA from 1 species
UGACAUAGUAGAACCACGUUGAAAUCGGGUUUCGCAAACAGCGGGCUGUAUAUUGCAUUUGACAUUAGUUCGUUGUCGACGAAACCUGCAUAUGACGUGGUAGUAUCAUCUCA